rnacentral:tRNA from 1 species
GCAUGGGUGGUUCAGUGGUAGGAUUCUAGUCUGCCACGCUGGAGGCCUGGUUUAAUUCCCGGCCCGUGCA